GCAGUAGCCGCGGGAAUACGGAGGGUGCAAGCGUUGUCCGGAUUUAUUGGGUUUAAAGGGUGCGUAGGCGGCUAUUUAAGUCAGCGGUGAAAGACUCCGGCUCAACCGGAGCAGUGCCAUUGAUACUGGAUAGCUUGAGUGUUGGAGGGGUACAUGGAAUUGAUGGUGUAGCGGUGAAAUGCAUAGAUACCAUCAGGAACACCGAUAGCGAAGGCAUUGUACUGGCCAACAACUGACGCUGAGGCACGAAAGCAUGGGGAGCGAACAGGAUUAGAUACCCCCGUAGUCCCUGUCUCUUAUAC
rnacentral:rRNA from 1 species